UCCGUUCGGUAUAAACGUGCCCGAGUUCAAACGGAAAUUGAGAGGAACUGAGGAAGAGCAAAAGCUUCCGCGAAACGAUGGAGUGUGCCGGGAAGAGACAGGGGACUCGGUGCACAGGACCAGCCACGAGAAGAUGUGCUCGCUGUGGAGCUGUUGCUUAUUGCUCUGUUUCUCACCAGAUUGUGCAUUGGCCUGAUCAUAAAGAAGAGUGCGGAAGGUUGGAGCAACAUAUGAAGCAUAUGGAUAUCUUGAAUGAGUUUCCUUUCACUUUUACUCAAGAAGCAACUGUUCAGGUAUGUGAAAAGCUGGAGACCAGGUGUUCAGUCUUGAAAAAAAGAGGGGUCCAUCAAAUGGGAAUGUGGUUGUAUGAAUGUUGUUGUGGGAAUUCAGUUAUUUCCUUCGAUUGUUCAAGGUUAAAUAAUUCUUGGGAUCUCUCAAAUACCUUUUGCCCGUGUACUGAGCCUUUAUCUAUGAUAUCAAAGCAUUUAACCAGUUGGAAGGAGUACUAUGAAUGGAGGUCCAUCCCACUGCAUUCACCUGUUUCUUUGCUACUCCACCGGCCUCUUACAAUUUACUAUGCCACUCAAGUAGCUGGUUUAGGAAGGUGGACUUCUGGAAUCAGCCACAAAUUGCACAUACACUAUCUUGGCCCUGAGAAAGAGCUUCUUCAGCUUUCUGUCUUCUCAGAGUUGCAUGCACUUUUUCCUAAUGUGCACGUGCAUAUAGAGCUUGUUGGGCCAGCAAUUCCACAACAUAGAGAUGGUGAGAUGAUCGAGCUAUGCAAUUAUGCCCAUUGCCUUGAUAGAGAUUGCAUAUGUAAAUCCUCAAGUGAGACUGUCAGCUGGGAUGCACAUACUAGUAAACCUUCAACAGUUACAUUGCAACUUAGAAGCGGCUUUUAUCAUGACCGUUACAAGGAUAUAGCUCAGAUGUGGGCAGGAUUCAUCUCCGCACUUAAUCGUUGCUCCAAAUGCAGGAAUUGCUGCUUAUUCAAGCUGGCUACCAACUAUUGAGCUAAUAAAGGAUAUGAAUAUCCCAGCAGUUUUUUCCGAUUACUGCAAAGAAGCUUGUCAUCUUGGAGCUAGUUGCUUGACUGGUGUAACCGGCUGUCCUCUCAAUAUCCCUAUUCAAUUAAAUCCAUUCAGGCAACCAAUGGUGGUGGAAGACAGCGUUCUCUUGCUUCCUUGCUACUCGAAUUGCUUCCUCUACGGGAUGUCAAAGUGGUCUGUCUAAAAUUAUACCUUGUCUCGAAGACUCUCUGUCGGCUUCUUCAAAUAAGUCGCUGCGUCUCUCAGAUCGAAAGGAGGACAAGUUGUCAAGGUAGACAAGAUUUGGUACGUGAUAACAUUCUCU